rnacentral:rRNA from 1 species
UACGGGGGGGGCAAGCGUUAUCCGGAAUUAUUGGGCGUAAAGAGCUCGUAGGCGGUUUGGCGCGUCUGCCGUGAAAGUCCGGGGCUCAACUCCGGAUCUGCGGUGGGUACGGGCAGACUAGAGUGAUGUAGGGGAGACUGGAAUUCCUGGUGUAGCGGUGAAAUGCGCAGAUAUCAGGAGGAACACCGAUGGCGAAGGCAGGUCUCUGGGCAUUAACUGACGCUGAGGAGCGAAAGCAUGGGGAGCGAACAGG